UGGUACAGGUGUGUGAAGCUGCCUACGGAGUACCAGAGAGGAAGAUGGGAAUAAAAGGGGGCACAUGUACUUGGACUUAACUGGGACCCUGGAACCAGGAAGCUGGCACACGAGGAUUUAUUCAAUGUUGCUCACCUGUUUGAAAAAAAUCACCUUACCAAUGGCAGAGCCUCUUGUGGUGUCUGAGUUGCCCAGAACAGUACAGCUGUAGUCAGUCCGCAUCUGUGACUUCGUUCACUG
rnacentral:lncRNA from 10 species